ACCAGCCAUCUGGUUAUUUCAAUCUGGGCGAUCCACACUGCCGCUCACUAAGCAACGAGUACAAGAGUCUGCAUGACCCGCAUUUGCAGGCCUACUACAACCGCAAAGACAACCUGCGGAGACUGAAGAGAGGAGGUUACGUCACCAGGGAUGGCAAAGUUGUGUGCACUCUGUGGGCGUUCAGUGAAUACAGGCAGUAUCUGGCCACGCUCAGGACAGAGGCGGACAAAAUGUACCGUUGAGAACAAAAAAGGCUUUGAGAACAACUGGCAAAAUUAAAGAGUGCCCCCGAACUGCCACAGGGGAUGGACAUUUCUCGCCUGCGAGAGCGGCUGCUGUGGGAGCAACGAGAGAGUU